rnacentral:lncRNA from 10 species
GCUGCAAGACACCCUGCUUCUGGCUCUGAGCUUUGCUUGUCUUCAGGGAUGGAGCCCCUCCCAAGGCAAGUUCAACUGGGUUCUUUGGCAGCCGAAGUCUACACGGACCCUGCAGGGAGCGGUGGAGAAAAGUUAGAUGUCUGAAGUGUUUUUCAUUGGACCAAAAUCAAGGUGUUGGCUGGGCUACCUUCCCUUCUGGAGACUCUAAGGAAGAAUCCAUUUCCUUGUCUUUUCCAGAUCCUAGAGGCUACCUGCAUUCCUUGGCUUUUAUCCCCAAUCUUCCAUCUUCGGAGCCAGCAACACACCUUUUUCUUCCUUCCAUGAUAUAGAUAUAUUGAUCAUGAGGAGAGGGCUCACCCCUCACCCGGAGAAGUAGUUGGGGAAGCAAUAUGCGGAAACAAAGCCAUGAAUCUGACAAGAAAUGUACUUAAGAUUGUAUAUAUGGAGAUGAAUACCCAUUGUCCUUUGCACUUUCUGGAUGAUAAAUUAGAAAAGAAAAAUCCAAAGAAUGAAGUUGUGCUAUUUGUCCUCACUUCUGAUUUGGGAAACUAGAGGAAAUUAAGAUGGGAAAAGACCAUGUGAGGACACAGUGAGAAGGAGACCAUAUGCAAAGCAGGAAGGAAGAUCUCACUGGAACCAAAAACCAGCCCUGCUGGCACCCUGAUCUUGGACUUCUAGCCUUUCUCAGAACUGUGAGAAAAUAAAUUUCUGAUGUUUCAGCCACUC